UACGUAGAGCCCGAGCGUUAUCCGGAUUUAUUGGGCGUAAAGAGUUCGUAGGCGGAUGGACAAGUCGAAUAUUAAAGACCCCGGCUUAACCGGGGGAAAGUGUUCGAAACUGUCUAUCUAGAGAAUGGUAGAGGCAGAUGGAAUUCUCGGUGUAGGGGUAAUAUCCGUAGAUAUCGAGAAGAACACCUAAGGCGAAGGCAAUCUGCUGGGCCAUUUCUGACGCUGAGGAACGAAAGCGUGGGGAGCGAACGGGAUUAGAUACCCCGGUA
rnacentral:rRNA from 1 species